GGGCUUGAUUAUUUCUUCUCCCAGGUAUCCAAGGAUAGGACACAAGGGAAUGGUUCAGAGCUGUGCAGGAGAGGUUUAGACUAGACAUUAGGAAGCAUUUCUGUACCAAGAGGGUGGGGAAACACCAGAACAGACUUCCAAAAGGGGUGGUCAGUGCCCUGGGUGUGUUUGAGAGGCAUUUGGACAAUGCCCUUUACAACAUGCCUCACUCUUUUGUCAUCCCUGAAGUGCUCAGGCUGUUGGGCUGGAUGGUCAUUGUAGGUCCCUUCCAAGUGAAAUAUUCUGUUCUGUUCUAUUCUUCUGUAUUCAGUUUAUUUCCUUAAUUUCUUACAGGUUUCUCCCUUCUUUCACACUCAUCUGCUCAUGGGUAUGUAUUAAAUGUGUGUGUGAUGGAAAAGAAAUGGUGGGGAACAUGAGAUACUGGUUAGGACAUGGAGGACAGUUUACUGGGAGAGCCAAAGAAAGUCCCCUGGAGCCAGCAGGGAGGUUUCCAGUCAUCCAGGAAGCACAGGGGGCCUAUACACACUCAUACACAAACUGGGGGACAGAGGAAAAUUGAUGCAGCUGCUUUAAAACAACCUUAAAUUGUGGCAGAGAUCAGCUUUUGAGAACAAGCAAUGGGAAUCUGAAGGAUAAGCUUUGAUGAUAAGUCAAGAUCACUGAAAUACUUCAGAUCCAUGGAGGUCACACACUGCCAUGGUCUGAGGGGACAUUUUCCACCAGCAGCUCUGUUUUUGCAUCACAGUUUAUGACUGCAUGAGCAGGACUUUUGAUGGAAAUCCUUGUGGAUAUCUCCAUUCAGGACCGGCAGUGCUGGAUUUCAACGCAUCACAUGCAUUUGCAUGUACACCUGAGAGAAUUUUUUCCCUGUGCUGAACAUGAGGAGAAACCUGUGACCCUAAGAUCGUCACCUCCCUGGGGCAGAGGCUGCUGCGUGCCUGCUGUUUGUCACCGGUUACGUUCCUGCAAAACAGCAAAUGGAUAAAAAGAGUAACCUAACACAUGGAUUUGUGGCAUCUCACAGUUAUUUUGCCGAUGCUGUGUAUAAGGAUUAAAGUGGCCAUUGUUCCAGCAUGAUAUACCUUGUGUCUUAGUCAGCAGCUUCAUUAUUUUACUUAGCAGGAGAUGGCCAAUAAAGUAUUAAGAAGCCAAAUUUGGGACUUGCUU
rnacentral:lncRNA from 1 species